rnacentral:rRNA from 1 species
GACGAACGCUGGCGGCGUGCCUAAUACAUGCAAGUCGAACGCAGUGGGGACGGGUGAGUAACACGUGGGUAACCUCCCAUCAGAGGGGAUAACACUUGGAAACAGGUGCUAAACCGAUACUGAUGGAUGGACCCGCGGUGCAUUAGCUAGUUGGUGAGGUAACGGCUCACCAAGGCCACGAAGCAUAGCUGGCCUGAGAGGAUGAUCGGCCACACUGGGACUGAGACACGGCCCAGACUCCUACGGGAGGCAGCAGUGGGGAAUCGUCGGCAAUGGACGAAAGUCUGACCGAGCCAUGCCGCGUGUGUGAAGAAGGUUUUCGGGUCGUAAAACUCUGUUAUUGGAGAAGCGGUAUCUAACCAGAAAGCCACGGCUAACUACGUGCCAGCAGCCGCGGUAAUAC